ACUUGACCUCAAAUCAGGUAGGACUACCCGCUGAAUUAA
rnacentral:rRNA from 1 species